GAAAUUGGUGAUGUUUUAAUAUUUUAAAGGAAUAUACAAAAUAUCAAACCCAAAUAAUGAUUUGGAGAAACUUUUUUACUGGAUGUACAAAAGAAAUCUGUUAAAAGUCUUGAAGGGACAAAAAAUUGAAAAUAAAUCAAGUUCUACGAUAUUAUUUGAAAACAUUAAGAACCAAGAUUGUUAAAAAUCCAGUGAGGAAGUCCACCCACUUUUGAUGUCUACAAUGGAUUACCCAUUUUAGUUGUGAAAGUUGGACAAUGAAAAAACUAGACAGGGGAAAAACUAGACAAGAGGUUCUAGGAAACUCACCACAGCCAACUCAUCACAGCAUCUAAAUUAUUCCCACGUCGAAUCAGACUCAGGACUAAGCAUGGCGGCGGACCCCGUUAACGACUACUGAGCCGGAGCCGCGGCUUGCCUGUCUGCCCCCAGUCACCCCCGUCGGCUGACUUACCUGCGGAUCCAGUCAUUAGCUCGCCAGUGGGGUCAUCAAGCACAGUCAGGCCUUGGCAUGUGAGCAACCAGGGACUCCGGGCACGGCUCUACCUUCGCCACCACGAUUUGAAUCUUCCGCUCCGGAAUUGCAGUGUUCCUGCAUAUUUGUCAGACUACGCAUGUGCCAUCCAAGGGGGGAGGAGUGUAGCGUCCUCUGCCUGUUGCCAUCAGCAACCAGGAUUAGCUGCUGAUUGGCUACCAGUUGACAGUUCCUUAGGCGGGAGGCGUACUCGUUAACCAUUGGCUAUCUCUCUGACAGCUGCUGGUAUAAAUAGCAGCCUGCCUCAAGUUUUCUCUCGUUGCGUUCUGGUUACUAGUUGUUAAACAAUAAAUCUUUGUGUUCGAGUUAAAUCGCCUCAAGCGUUAUUCCACGCCAAUAACGAACUUAACAACUAUUUUUUUUCUUUGGACAAAUAUGGUUCUCUCCUUGUACCUUUGCUUUUCUGGAAAUAAACAAAUGUCGAAGC